rfam:Luteibacter rhizovicinus DSM 16549 Contig_35, whole genome shotgun sequence.
CGUUCCCUGCGGUGUUCGCCAGCGCACUUUACAUUUGCCUUGUUCCUACAUACGACCCCGGGUCGGCUUUUCGUGGCUGUUGUGCAUGUCCGCCUUUGUGCGGAAAGCCUGGAUGCUGCGUAGCUCUCCCACCUGAUCCUUUGGAUCAAGGUCGUUUGGUGCGCAGCGGCAUCGCGGAGAACGC